AACAACUCACCUGCCGAAUGAACUAGCCCUGAAAAUGGAUGACGCUAAAGCGGACAGCCGACACCAUGCCGUUUGGGCAAAAAGCGACCUAAAUGAGUAGGGGGGCGUGGCGGUCUUGUGAGGAAGGUCUAGACGCGAGUCUGACUGAAACGGCCGCUAGUGCAGAUCUUGGUGGUAGUAGCAAAUAUUCAAGCGGGAUCCUUGAAGGGCGAAGCGGGGAAGGGUUCCAUGCGAACAUUGAUUGGGCGUGGGUGAGUCGUCCCUAAGCCGGGUGGUAAUCGAAUUGACGAAGCGGCGAAAGGGAAGCGGGUUAAAAUUCCUGCACACGGAUGUGGAGGCGGUGACGCAAAUUGAGGUGAAGACAUCAGCGGUGGUGCUAGGCAGAGUUUUCUUUUCUGUUUGACCUAUUAGUGCACGGUGUGGAAUCCGAUUAUCGGGAGAAACACGCGCCGAAUGGGCAGAGCGUCGGGGCGUCCCCGGCGUCUAGAACGCCACCGAUGGUCCUUGAAAAUUCAUCUGCAAUAAAAUUUCACGCCGUGGCGUACCGAUAACCGCAUCAGGUCCCCAAGGUGAACAGCCUCUGCUCGAUAUGAACAAU
rnacentral:rRNA from 1 species